AUUGUAUAAGACAGCUUGCAGAGAAAAUUGAGACUGCAUAAUUUUUGAAGAAACGAACCAUUCUGUCAUGUACUAUAUUUCAUAUAACGAAUUGUGAAAGAUAAAAAUCAAAUUAAUACAGGUAACUGUUUUAUUUAUUAAAAAAUUUAUUUGCCUUCCCAACUUUAUGCAUCCCUAUGCAAUGUUUAGAAGGUUUAGUGCCUCAAACCAGUCAUGUACGGAGAAGUCUAGAGAGAUAAAUAAUUUGGCAUCGGGGUUAUCUCUAAUCAUAGAAGGGCAUAAGUAAAACAAAUCAAUAUCCAAAUCGAUUAGUUAUUUCAAAAAUUAUAAAUAGAGGAUGCAUAAUACACGAAAUAAACAAACACACACACAAAUAAACACAAAAACAUACACACAACACAUAGCUCUUUUAUGCUUUUUGAAUGGCAAGGAGUUUAACCAAUGCAGUGUACUGUAUACACAUUCAGACAGACACCAGCAUAAUGAUCUUAUAAUUAUUCCUCAAUUUCAUUUGGAAAGUAGAUUAAUAAUCUCUUCAGCGCGCGAGGAUAAAAGUUAUUGAUGUAGAUAAAAAGAAAUGAU
rnacentral:lncRNA from 1 species